UAAAUCACGUUGCCGCUUACAAUUUUGUCAUAAACAUUUUAAAAACAUUCACGAUGAGGACUUUUUCUCUGCUUGUUGCUUUGGCUUUCUUAUCUACAACUCAAGCCAUUGACUGCCGGUUUAACGUGGGCUGUUUUCCACAGGGGGAAUUUGCGUAAAUUCCGAUGGCAUUCCUUGUUAACAUAGGAUGGUCAACCAAGACUUUACCUAGCGAUUGAAACUGUAAAUAAUAAACUUCAGAAAUCAUCCCUUAAGGUAUACUUCCCGGACUCUCGUGUUAUUUUUAAAUACACCAAUUCCCAACUGGUUCUAGCUCGGCCUUUAUGAAGGCCUCUUUCUUUGGUUUGAAGGGUUAUCGCUUCUCGGCCUUAUGGCUAAGAUCAAAGUGUAGUAUCUGUUCUUAUCAGCUUAACAUCUGAUAGUUCCUCCAUUGGAGGACAACAAAUGUUAAACUGAUUUUUGGAACCAGACGGAGUGCUAGGGGCUUGCUCCACCUCUGUCGCGGGUUGGCCCGGUAUUGCAGUACCGCCGGGAUUUCGGCCUAACUGAUUGAUAAAUUUCAUUAUGUGACAUGCUAACUCGAAGAACGCUUGACGUCGCAGUUUUUGUUGGCGCUGCAAUUUGUGACUUCUAUCUCUUUGGGCAGAGUUAAGCUGCCUUUUUUGGCGGCAGUCUGUCGAAAGUUGUUUUGCAUUUCGUCGAUGUCAAGUGAUUUGGAAAAUUUCUAAAAAGACCUGAAAAAAUAUGAUAAGUAUAGUUUUCGAUGGUUGGCAAAUAAAAUUGCUUUUCCAUAGCCCACGAUUUAAGUAGAAUUUUUAAAGUUGCAUAACUCUAAUCUUCGCGGAUUGCAUUUGUGAUCAAAUUUUAGGGUUUAAAUUUGACACCCUUGUUGUGUAACUCGAGAUAACGAUAUAAUAAAAAGUUCGGUCUUGGUUAAUUUAUUGUGAAAUUGUAUUUAGCAACGCUGUUUUCUUUAUAAAUCACGUUGCCGCUUAUGAUUUUGUCAUAAACAUUUUAAAAACAUUCACGAUGAGGACUUUUUCUCUGAUAGUUGCUUUGGCUUUCAUAUCAACAGCUCAAGCCGGCAUUAACUGCGCUUUUCAAUACUGUGAUGUAAAUUCUAGGGGGGAAUGCGUAUCAAGGGAAGGCUGGCCUUGUUAACAAGUGAUGGUAACCCAGAGUUUGCAUAGUGAUUAAAAAUGCAAAUAAUAAAAUUCAGGUAUCACUCCUAAAAGUAUACUGCCCGGUCUCUCGUGUUUCUUACUUUUAAAUACACCAAUUCUGGUUAACAACUGGUUCUAGCUCGGCCUUUAUGAAGCCCUCUGCCUUGAGUUUGGAAGAAUUAUCGCUUCCCGGCCUUAUGGCUAAGAUCAUAGUCGUUUUUGCUGACGGCGCAAAUUGUGACUUCUAUCUCUAUGGGCAGAGUUUUUCUGCCUUUUUUGGUUGCAGUUGAAUAAGUUGAUUGCUUUGCAACAGAACUUUUGAUGUCUAACUCGGCUUUUUAAAUUGACCAACUUAGCCAAAAAGGUAUGAUAAGUAUAGUCUUCGAUGGUUGACAAAAACAAAAGAUUUUCCACAGCCCACAAUUUAAGUAGAAUUUUAAAUAGUUCUAAACUUCGCACAUUGCAUUUGUGAUAAAUUCUAAGGUUUAAAUUUGACACCCGUGUUGUGUAACUCGAGAUAAGGAAACAAUAAAAAGUUCGGUCUUGGUUAAUUUAUUGUGAAAUUGUAUUUAGCAACGCUGUCUUCUAUAUAGGUCAUGUUUUCGCAAACAAUUUUGUCUUAUACCUUUUAAAAACAUUCACGAUGAGGACUUUUUCUUUGAUAGUUGCUUCGGUUCUGUUAUCAACAACUCAAGCCAGAUGGCCAAUUUUCUGCUAUGAGGAGGGCGCUGAGCGCAAGUUGUAUACUGCACGGACUCUCGUGUUUCUUAUUUUUAAAUACACCAAUUCACAACUGUAAUUCCGGGACGACAGAUUUGUUCAUGAUGGUCGUGUUAUAUGCAAGCUGUAUAUUUUAAUACCUUUAAAAAUUUUGCAUCCGGUAAUUAAGUUAAGGAUAUUCUGACCCAUCUAUCAAUCUGCCCAACACAUUUGAUGGACAAGGACUCCAACCCGCUUGAGGCGCCAUCUAUUUUAUCAAAUUUUACGUUUGCAGUAUCCAUCUGUUGGUGAAAACUGAAUAUAAAGAUGCCUUUUGUCGUACAAA